ACGGAAGGCAGCAGUGGGGAAUAUUGGACAACGGAGGAAACUCUGAUGCAGCGACGCCGCCUGAGUGAAGAAGUAUUUCGGUAUGUAAAGCUCUAUCAGCAGGGAAGAUAAUGACGGUACCUGACUAAGAAGCCCCGGCUAACUACGUGCAAGCAGCCGCGGUAAUACGUAGGGGGCGAGCGUUAUCCGGAUUUACUGGGUGUAAAGGGAGCGUAGGUGGUUUGGCAAGUCAGAAGUGAAAUGCAGGGGCUCAACUCCUGAACUGCUUUUGAAACUGUCAGACUAGAGUGCUGGAGAGGUAAGUGGAAUUCCUAGUGUAGCGGUGAAAUGCGUAGAUAUUAGGAGGAACACGAGUGGCGAAGGCGGCGUACUGGACAGUAACUGACACUAAUGCUCGAAAGCGUGGGGAGCAAACAGGAUUAGAUACCCUGGUA
rnacentral:rRNA from 1 species